rnacentral:lncRNA from 1 species
CUAAAUCUUUGCAGAAGUCCCCAAAUUCCGUCCGGAAUUAUGGUCUACUGUCAGUUCGAAUAUGCAUUAGAAGCCCCCAAUCUUAAAACCACAUCAACAUGAUAUCAGUGACUGACUUAGUUGAAAUCUUUCGUAAGUCUAUGAGGAGGCACCCUGAGUAGCUGUCCAUAACUACGUUGACCUCCAUUAGGUUGGAAGACACGGAUUCGAACGGCCUUGACGAUGGGGAUUGUUGCGUUGAUUCUAGAGAUGUAUCCCCCAUCGUCGAUACUGUCUUGUCUUACGGAUAAUAGACUCAUUUGGAGAGACUUGAAUAACUUGAGGAAAAGACUCAAUAACGUAUGCCGUGAUGUUUGUUUUGAAGAUUUUUCCUAUUUUGAUACGAAGACAGACGGCGCCCAUGCAUCUCGAGCUUGAAUUGUUCGCUGCUGUGAUGAAGAGUCUUUUAGAUGAGUCUAUUUCGAUGUUAUACUCUAAUACCAAAUCGGGAUAAAUAAGAGACUUAGUAGCUCUUGUAUCAGAUAGAGCUUUCAUGGUAAAAGGUUUGCCCUGACCUUGGAUAAACUUCAGCCUCGAGGCUUGGAGUAAUGUGAUUGAUUGAUAAAGUUUUCAUUCGGAUCGUCGACGUUUCGAUUGGCUUGGCCUUGCUCUGCACUGGAGAUUUUGCAUCAUGACAUUCGAAAAGGUCGUUGUGAUGCAUUUGGCUCGCGGCAUCAAUAGCGUUUAUAUUUUAAGUUCCGGUGGAUGAUGAUGACUUUUGUUUGUGGUCUGAUUUUGUUAUUGUCGUUUCGAUCUAUGUAAGUAGACAGAGCUACAAAAUUUCCUUGUUUUUCCUCUUUUGUUUUUACCCACAAUAGAUGAAACCGACUCCCAUCCCAUGGAUAUCUGGAUAAGUUUUUAAUGGUUUGGCUCACUUUUACGUAGAAACUCUUUGUAUAGACGUCUACUCAUUCUACCGGUGAUCAAGCAUAGGGUUUACAAAUAUUCUUCAUGUAUAUUGCUGAACUCUGUUUCAUGUCCCUGUAGUAUAAGAUGGAGAUGCCAGUCUGAGAAUUUUUCUCCCUGUUUUUGAUGACAUUGAAAGAAGGCAUACGGUCAUGUUAGGAGGGGGGAAUUCCCUGAAGAAAAAUUAUGUAUAUUUCAUCUAAAUAUCCUCCG